rnacentral:rRNA from 1 species
UUUAAAGUCUGACCUGCCCAAUGAGAGUUUAAAUGGCCGCGGUACUUUGACCGUGCAAAGGUAGCAUAAUCAUUAGUUUUUUAAUUGGAAGCUGGAAUGAACGGUUGGACGAGGGAAUAACUGUCUCAAUUUGAUUUAAUUAGAAUUUUAUUUUUAAGUAAAAAAGCUUAAAUGAUUUUAAAAGACGAGAAGACCCUAUAGAGUUUUAUAUGAGUAUUUAAGUUGGUAAUUAAGAAUUAAUAUUUUUAUUUAAAUAUGAAUAUUUUGUUGGGGUGACAGAAAAAUUUAAUUAACUUUUUUUAUAUUAAAUCAUUAAUUUAUGAUUAGAUGAUCCGUUUUAGAACGAUUAUAAGAUUAAAUUACCUUAGGGAUAACAGCGUAAUUUUUUUUGAGAGUUCUAAUCGAAAAAAGAGUUUGCGACCUCGAUGUUGGAUUAAAAUUAAUUUUUGGUGUAGGAGCUAAAAUAUUAGGUCUGUUCGACCUUUGAAAUUUUACAUGAUCUGAGUUUAAACCGGCGUGAGCCAGGUUGGUUUCUAUCUUUAAAAAUAUAGAAUAUUUUAGUACGAAAGGACCAAAUAUUUAUUAUAUUAGUUAAUUUUUGAUUAUUAUUAAG